rnacentral:rRNA from 1 species
GGCGAACGGGUGAGUAACGCGUGAGGAACCUGCCUCAAAGAGGGGGACAACAGUUGGAAACGACUGCUAAUACCGCAUAAGCCCACGACCCGGCAUCGGGUAGAGGGAAAAGGAGCAAUCCGCUUUGAGAUGGCCUCGCGUCCGAUUAGCUAGUUGGUGAGGUAACGGCCCACCAAGGCGACGAUCGGUAGCCGGACUGAGAGGUUGAACGGCCACAUUGGGACUGAGACACGGCCCAG